rnacentral:rRNA from 1 species
GACGAACGCUGGCGGCGUGCUUAACACAUGCAAGUCGAACGGUAAGGCCCUUCGGGGUACACGAGUGGCGAACGGGUGAGUAACACGUGGGUGAUCUGCCCUGCACUUCGGGAUAAGCCUGGGAAACUGGGUCUAAUACCGGAUAGGACCAUUGCCUGCAUGGGUGGUGGUGGAAAGCUUUUGCGGUGUGGGAUGGGCCCGCGGCCUAUCAGCUUGUUGGUGGGGUGAUGGCCUACCAGGGCGACGACGGGUAGCCGGCCUGAGAGGGUGACCGGCCACACUGGGACUGCGAUACGGCCCAGACUCCUGCGGGAGGCAGCAGUGGGGAAUAUUGCACAAUGGGCGCAAGCCUGCUGCAGCGACGCCGCGUGGGGGAUGACGGCCUUCGGGUUGUAAACCUCUUUCAGCACCGACGAAGCGCAAGUGACGGUAGGUGCAGAAGAAGGACCGGCCAACUACGUGCCAGCCGCCGCCGUAA